AAUUUUUUUAAUACAAUACACAGAGUAUAUAAAACAAUUGAACAGAAUGAAAAUGUAGCAAGAUUAACAUCAAUAAAUAAAUUUCGUAGCUAGCAUAAUAAAAAUUUAUAAAAUUAAAUUAACGUUUACGUAAAUAAAGAAUGAAAAUAAUAAAAACCAAAAUUAUUCAAUGGUUCAAAAAUGUAAAAUUUUAUUUGAAGAAAUAAAAAAUUGUUUCAUAUAACGAUUAAUAAAAGAAAAACGUUAUUUUUUCAUUAGCGACAAUGAAUUAAAUAACAUAUUCAGGAUAAACGUGAAUGCUGUCAAUCCGCAUAGCACACGUAGAAGUUGCUAGGAAUCUGGAAUAAUUAGAAAAGCCUACAAAGAUAUCCUUAUAAGAAUGAACAUUAAUCUUUUUUAGAUAUAGGCUGAUCUAUGUAUUUCUUUCGGUAAAUUAUUAUAUUAAUAUGGAAAAAAUGAUUUACGCAUCUGAUAUCUCGAAAGAUUUUAUCCUAAAUAAAGCAGUUCGUGAUGCUACAAAUAUCUUACUAAAACCAUACAUGCCAAUAGUAUUAACAGACUCUUGUUCAACUCCAAAUAAUUGUGAUAAUCAUGAAACAAUCAAUAAUAUUAAAGUCAAAUGGAUAUCACAUACACAAGAUUUUUUAUUAAAAAUGACAACAAUUGCUUGGGACUUUCUAAAUAUUUUGAAUAUGUUUCAGAAUAAUCUAGAAAACCAUAAUAUAGAAGAUAUUUCAAAUAAUAGUAUUUAAAUAAUAGGAACAAUAUAUUUUUAUAGUACAGCUUCUAUCAGCUGAUGUGAAUUGACAGCUUAGAUAACAAGAAAAAAAUAAGUAUUUUAAUGUAAUUGAUAUAAGUAUUUUUAAUAAAAAAUAUACAAAAUAAUUUUGUAUUUUAUAACAAA